UAGAAAACAAAAAAAAAUUAACGCAGAAAACAUAAACUAACAAAGAAAAAUCAGAGUCUUCCCCAAUAGACCACACUUAAACUACACAGUGUCCUCAAUGUGUCACAAUCAUCAGAUCAGAAAUCAGAACAAUCAAUAGAUCAUGGACAAGUGCAAUAAAAGUAGGGAAAGGGAGGAGAAGGGAAAAGGAAAACUUCCCUGAUCAAGGUGGCAUUUGCCAAUGUUGGACUUUCAGGGAGAUAUUCUCCACCACUGGAGUCGACAAGGAAGUCUUGAGGAGGAACUACUUCAGUCUCCAAAUUUGAUCAAGCAGGGAUAUGUCCUCCACAGCUGGAUCCAAGAAGCAGUGAUUGUUGAUGAGCAGGUUCAGCUGGUGCCUAUUAAUCUUCAAACUAUCGGCACCUUUGUCUUCCACCAUGGGUG
rnacentral:lncRNA from 1 species